ensembl:lncRNA
CUUCCUUCUAAAAAUAGCAGCAGCACCUCCUCAGAGGGUUCCUGAGGCAGCUGUUGGAGCUCGGAGGAGACUGUAAUUCAUAUGCUAAAGCCACACAGGGAUGGCUGGGCUUUGUAAUUCCUGUGCUAUAAAGCAAAAGAAGCAAAAGUUGCAUCUGAAGAGCCCACAGAAAUUCAGACGGUGAGGAUAUCCCACUUUUGCUGUGCUCCUCAUGAAAGGAAGCACCACUGUACCAGGGGAUGGCACUGAGGAUUCUGUUGGCACACACAGCACACCUAGCAGAAUAAAACCCAGAAUGGCAGCAGAGCAGCUGAUGGCCUUGGGAGCAGCUCAGCCUCAACGAGAAGUUUUGUUUUUUGUGACAAAAAUGGGUGCAGCCACCAGAGCUCCACUGUGAUAAUGCAAGCCAUGGGCACGGGCUGGGAAGUGCAGCCUGACCCCGUGGGAACUUCCUGAGGGAAAGCAAGAUUGAGGGAGGGGCAAACCCCAGGUUCAGCACCUCACUGCACUCAUAGUGCCCUCACAGCAGCAGCUGUACAGAAGCACUCCGCAUUUCCCAAGGAGAGGCCCUCACAGCAGCACCCCAUGCUUAGCCCAGGACGCUGGCAGCUGUCUCCCCAUGUGUGAGCUCCUCCCUGCCGGCCUCAUCCCAGCACCCCCAUCUGUUGGGCCACAGCCUUCGCCUGGUCUCCUCUUACUCUGAAUUGCAGCUCUGAUUGCACAGCUUUAUGCUCUUGCAGCACUUUGCUGUUGGAACAAUUUCUUGCCAGAAGCACAGCACCGUGUGCCUUCCUGCUCCCUCUGGCUGCCAUCUGCUGCCCAGCAUAAAGCGAACCGGGGCUGCUGCUGCCCAUCUGCUCGCCAUAGAGCCAACCGAGCAACCUUCCUCACUGCAGCCACUGCACCGGAGGCUGGAAUUGCUGGAAGUACCAAGGAGACAGGGAGGACAUGCAAUACCUUUCAUUGUGCUUCAUCUGUAUACUGCAGCACUGAGUCCAAGUGGGUUCUCCUGCUCUCAUCCAUCCUGGCACGAGAAAGCACGGAAGAACCACGGUGCUGGCACACGUGUACUGGCUCCACGGGACCCACCUGGACAGAGAAGGGUGAGGAUUCUUUAACUGUACCCCUUCCUGGCUACCCUGGAACUCCUUGUAGAAAACAAAAGCGAACAGCCUGCAGGGCACCCAAAGGCUGCUCUCACCGCCAGAGCACUGGACCUAAUCCUGAAAGCAGGAGAGAUAUGUAAAAGUACAUGUAACAGUAUCCUCCAAUGAUUGGUUUUUGUGAUUUGAACUUCAGUAUCACCUCAUGACAAGGAGAUCUAGUGGUAAAAAUAAGGCAGGGCCAUCCUUAAACAAGGCUCUGGCUUACAGUGCACUGAUUUGUUAGUGCUGUGGACCCAACACUCAGACUUUGCUCACUCCCUCAGUGGUGAUGCCACUGCGCAAUGUUGACCCUCAUUUAGUAGUGCUUUAAGACAGAUCAUCUCCUUUUGCUUCAUUAACAAAACUAUUUAUUUUAGGGCCCAUUUUUGGCAGUCAUUACAUGGUUAAGGCUGCCAUUAGCAAAGCUGAUUGAACACAUCUUUUUUCCCCAGGAAAGAAGAGACAAGCACUGAACCCCUGCUAGCUGCCUGUGUAAGCAAUCUGCAGCAGAUGGUGCCCAGAUGUUCCCCAUCACCAGAUGUUCCAGCUUUAUACAGAAGACAACUCCUGCUCCUCAGUUCUGGAGCGAGGGCACUAGGAGCACAGAAGGGUAAUUAGUGCUUACACACAAACACCAACACAGAGGCUGAUUCUUCCUUAAAGUUUCACUACAAGCCUGAACUAACUGUGCUGCCUGGAAGCCAGACUGUUAUGGCUGCCCAGGGCUCCAUACUUGUAUCUAUGGAAAAGUUACCUUCAUUUCCAUAGUAACAUAACACUGCUGCUUUCAGGAAGUUCUAAGUACAAACCAAGUUACUGCAAAUAUAUAUAUACACAUAUAUUUUAAAGAGGUAACCAAGAAAUAAAGGAACACAUUUAUCUUUUCCA